UGACUCAGAUAGAAACUGUGUCUUCCUUGUUUUUCUCCCACCCUCCAUACUUGUUGAAGUAACAGUCCUUACACUUUACUUGCCUUCUGUAGCAGGAACUUAAAUGUAAAUAUAGUUAUAUCAGUAUUUGACGUGAGUCACAGCCUGAGAGAUCAAUAUGAAUGUCCUGUAAAGAUUCUAGUUUUUUUUUUUCCUUAAUGCUGUUGAGUAAAUUGAGAUUCUUCCUCUGUGAUAGAGGGUAUGUUAGUAUUAAGUUUCCAGAUCUGCUGUUUGUUAGCAGGGCCAGAGUGGAAGUAACUUUCGUGGUUUGGGGCGUUUCCUGUGUGUUCUUUCUUGAGUAGUAGGCAUAAAUGACUGACAGUAAAGAGCAAUUAAUAAUUUUCCAAGUAAAAUAUUUUCGUAACCCACUCUUUAUGUGCAUCAAGUGAUUUCCCUCUCAGGAAUGUGGUCAGUUAAAAAAUAAAGUUACACUUCUCUGAAUUCUGCAAGGGCUUUGGAAAAUCUGUAUUGUUAGAUCUUAAAAUAUAUGGAAAACGUACAUUGUUUAGUGCAGUUUGUUGCUUACUAAAUGGGUGCUGCUGCUGCCAUCCAGCUGAGUGUCCCAGGUGAGAGAACACUUGCUCCCAUCAGUGUCUGUAUGUUUUUGUUGUUUCUUUUUUUUGGUUCCGGGGACUGAACUCACAACCUCAUGCUUACCAGGCAGGUGCUUCUGCCACUGAACUAAAUCUCCAGCCUCUUGUUUUUGUUUUCUUUUGUGAGGCAGGCGAGUGCUGUGUCUAAAGAAGUGGAGUUCCUCGCCCAUAUGUAUCUCGAUUGGCAGUUUCCAUUUGAAGAUUUUGUUUUUCCUCCUACUGUGAAUGAGAAUGUGCUUCAGAUUUCAGUGAAGACUUCAAGUCUUCAGGCUGCCUUAGUUGGACAAAGAAGCUCACAGCCUCACACCCACCAAGUCUAGAAGAGCAGCAGAAUUGAUUUCAAAAUCAAGAGAGAGCAAAAAAUCAGAAGAGUGCACUCAAGCAUUGUAAGAAAAGUCUCAUCUGGCCUGGACUCCUUCCACUGUGUUCCGCCUAUUCGUGUGGCUUCUAUUUUUGAAUUACGUAUGAGAAGGGAUGCCAUGUUUUGAUGCUUUGAAGCUCUGAAUGUCUUAAUCCAGUGCUCCCUGGACAUCUUUAUGUUUACUAGGGCUCCUUAUUUGUUUCUGUAGUGUGGCCAGGUCUAAAGUAAUGUUCUGGGCUUAAAUAAAUUCUCAAAGAGCUCCAUGGAAACCAGUGCUGUUUAAAAUACAGUGUUGCUGUUAUUGCCCAAACUACAAGAACUGUCUUUGUAUUGGAGAGAGCCAGGAUUCCUAAAGGGUAUGAGGUCACCCACAGUCAGAACCCGAAGGGACCAAGCCCUCGGUUCAAAAUCAGUGCCCUACUGACUCCUCCCACUGUGGAAGCAGGCGUUGUGCUCCUGGGCUCUGGAAGGAAACUGAGUCCUCUUGCAGAGCACGUGUUUCUCUUGGGGUGCUGCCACCAGUGGAUGAGUCGGCCUCGUCUCUGAAUUUACCCUUGGAAGCAUCCCUAGUCACAGGUCAGUGUCAUUCAGGUAGCCAGUCGUGGGUUCCUUCAAACAGCAAAUCUGGUAUUUUGUGUUUCCACCCAGCUUCCAAGAUUCAAAAAUUCAAAACCUCUAAAACACAACGCUGCUCCUGGAGGUGCCAGGAUGAUGUUGUAGGUGUGUUCUAAAGGAGAGGGCAGUAUCUUGAGGUGGGUUAAGGCCAACGUAUCCUUUCCUGUAAUAAAACAUUUCAAAAUUUAAGUAACAACUUUACCUUUGAUCAGACCUCAUAGAGCUGUAUGUCCUCAGAAUUCUCUUACUAGUUUGCUUUGGAAUUUUAGAAAAAUCAUAGUCUCUGAGAGAAACCAUGAGAAUCAACAGUUUCCUUCCCUUUUCUGAGCAUGCUGGUAUUUCAUCUUGUGAUGAUGCUGGCCAGUUGUGUUGGCGACAUGUUUGAAAUGCUCGACAUUGACAGGGUACUGAGGUGCUGCCACUGCGUUCCUCGUUGCCGGUGAUGCCCCUGCUGAGAUUCACUUAAUGCCUGAGGUUUCCUGAUUGUGGCUUAAAUUCCAUGAUAAACAACUUUCUAAAUGUAUUUCAGGUUUAGUUUUUGGGUUUGGUUAUUUAUGUAGAAAACACUUGAUACUCAAUUUUUCUCUUAGAGAACUCACUUUCGUCUUUUGCUAUCUUUUAAGUCUUUUCUCAUUGUACUUCAUUUUAUUUUUAUAGUGCCUUUGAAAAUAUUAUUUUUAUUAAGUAGAUAUUACUGGUGACUGGCAAAGAACAGCCCAAAGGCCAAAUCAUACGUUCUUAUAAAUAACCGUGCCUAUUUAAUGGUUGUAGCCGAUUUCACAGUUUCACAUUGGCAGAGUUAGCGGUGAGACACUAUAGCAAAGCCUUAAAAAUUAACCCUCCAACCAUUUACAAAUUCAUCAAUCCCUAAAUUAUACUGUACAACUGAUCAUGCAGAUGGGGCAGCAGUAGACCAAAUGAGUUACCUCAGCUCUUACUGUCAACAAUACCCUUCUCUGUCUCCAGCUUUCUCCCUCCUCCUAGAAGCAAGGACAGUUAGGCCAAAGUGGAAGGAACUUGACUGGUGUGAAUCUCCUGGAUUUCUUUUAAGAACUUUAUACUUCUAUUGCAAAAUUCUCUGUUUUCUCCCCAUACAUAUUUUAAGCCUAACACAUAAGCGCUUCCUGUAAUAACACUCCAAAUCUAAACCAGCCCUUAAAGUAUUUUUCCCCCCUGGAGGAUUCAUGUUGCUGUGACAAUUUAAUAGCAUUUGUAGCCUUUGAGUUGCAAAAAUGAGGAAAUAAAGACUUGGGCCAUAAGACUUACAGCUUAUCGUUUGAGAAUGUAGACUCAGGCGUAUGGGGUUCUACCAUAAAACAUUAGAGCAUUCCGCUGUCAGAAGCAGAGAAAGCACACCCACGUGCCCAGGGGAUGUGUUCCACCCCAGCUGCUUAGGACCUGCUGAAGGAGCAGUGUUUUCAAGCAUGAUCCCUGACAUGGAGAAGAGUAAUGUGACAAAUGAACAGGUGUUCCAAGGUGGCAAUUUGAAUAGAAGCUAUAAAGUUUUAGCUUCACCCGAGGGUAUUACUGCAAAUUAGUUAAGCAAGUAGUUAUUGAUGGCUUAAAUUAAGCAGCACAUUGAAGAGGGCACAUUUCCUUUCCCAGUGGAGUGCUAUUAGGAAGCCUUAACCUACUUUGACAUUUCUUUCUGAUCAAAUCUUCCCUGUUUCGUUCAAUUCAGAGUGAUUCAUGCUUUUAAAAAUAGUUUUAGAAAAUAGGCCAUGAGUUAGAUAAUUAACAUUAGAGUUCUUUUUCAGUAAUGAUUUCCUAGACGCUGGUCAUUGGAGUAAUCUGUCAUCAUGUGAUGGUGUUAGGGGAUUUGGGGUUUUGUUUUUUUCUUCUGAAGUAAAGGAUUCAGUACUUGGAGGAGCUUCUAGAGCAGCUGAAAGGUCUGAGAUAUUUGAAUAUAUCUGGACUUUUGACAGCAGGAAACAGCUGCUUUCACGCAUGUGGAAGAUUCCUGUGAUUAAAAUUCAGAGAUCUAGAACAUGCUACUGUGGAGCUGACAGAAUAGAAAUCUUGUACCCUAUUGCGUCAGACAGCUUUCAUUGCUGUGAUGAAUACCGGAGAACAUCAUCCUUGAAGAGGACAGCUUUACUUUAGCGCAUAGUUCCGAGGGUCCAGUCCAUGGUUUCUUGACUAUAUUUUCCUAGGCCUGGGCUAGAGCAGAAUAUCGUGAUGGGAGCAUGAGAUAGAGCUGAGUGUCACUUUGUGGCAGCCACGAAGCAGAAAGGAAAGCAAAAGGGCCAGGCUUCCAAUACACCCUUGGAGGGCUUGCCCUCUGUGAGCUGCGCCUCCAGCUGGGCUCUAAGGCUUAGUCUGCAGUGCCUCCCCCUAGUGCCUUUGUGGGGCAUUGCAGGGCCAGACUGUAAUGUCUGCCGUUACUGGAAGGUGAGCAGAUUCUGUUUGUCCAGCUGUGAUGGCUGGGCACCUACGACUUUAGAUUGGGGGCUCCUUUGCAUUUUUCCUCACAUUAAUGCUGUCAGUACUGAAAUACAAGGCAGCCCUUCCAGAGGCACUAAUGGUUACUUUACGUUAGAUGGAUUAGUUGUAGUUAACAUGACUUUUCUUUUUCUUAGUGAAAAUUUACUUGGGAGACUUUCAGUUGUACUUUAAGUCCUACAGUUACAGUACUAGUUCAUAGAUGGGAGGUCCUCAUAUUCAGAGUAUAUAUAUUUGUGCAUCUGUGUGUGCGUGUGUGUGUGUGUGUGUGUGUGUGUGUGUGUGAUAUUGGGAUUGUUCCCCCAGCCGUUUUUAUUUUUGAGACAAGAUGAGUUGCCCAGUAUGGACCGGAAUUUGCAAUUCUCCUCUAUCACCUCCUAGAGUACUGGGUUUACAGGCGUGUAUCUCUGUGCCCAGCUAGGAUACAUGUAUUUUCAUGUGGCUUCCAUCUGUUCAACUCAGACCCACAUCACUGGAGCCGAAUGAGAGUGGCUUUCUUGUGAACCUGUAUAUAAGGAUAGUCCUAAACAGAAUUCAAGGGCAGGACCAUGUUCUACCAUUCAUUCAGCAAACAUGUAGUCUCAAAUCUGCACCUGCUUCUGCCUAAGCCAGGAAUGGCAAACCUGUUACAGCUUUCAUUGGUAACGAACAACGUGCUGCGGCACGGGUGCCGUAAGUUUACCACUACCUAUCUAAGCCAUUCUUAAUUAGACGUAACUGCUAGUCAUCCUGCCACUUUAAAGUCUUUUAGCUCAACGGCAUAAACGCCUGCCUGGCAAGUGCGAGGUCAUGAGUUCAUUCCCUGGUACCACACAAAAAAAUUAAAAAAUAAAAAUCAUCUGUGUCCUUCUGAGGAUAUGGUACAUUGGUCUGCAUGUUAUAUGAACCAACUGACACAGAGUAGUUCUCAGACACUUUACAUUUCUCACUACUUUUGUAACAAUGUCUCAACCUAUUACAUAAAAUGUCUCUUUUCAUAAUUUAUUAAUUUUGCAGCCUUUAUGCAGAAAUACUGAGGUAUCCAUUUAAGCACUUUGGGUAAAAGGAUGAAUUUUUGUGGUACUAUAAACUUAAGUCAGAACACCCUGAGAAAAUCCCUUUAUUUCUUAGGUUAUUUCUUCAUUUGGAAAUAAGACCUUUCAGCCAAAUCCGCUUUUGUGACUCCCAUGGAUUUUUGCAAAUAUUGAUAAAAUGACCAGUCUCGCAGUUACUUUCAAAGCAUGAAAUAUUCUUCUUGAGCUUUCUAUUCCCCUUCCUUGCAGUGUUCCUAUAGGGUUAAAUAUAUGUUCUUUAUUAUUAAUUUUAUUUUUAACACAAAGCCUUUGAGAAAGAAGGCGAAUCAUAGGAGAUUGUUUCCUGCCCUCUUGGGAGAGUGGAGUAACUGAGUCCUGAAGGAGAGUGCCUGGGGGCCCCUGAGGGGUGGCUGAGGCUGGGGCCAGGGCAGGAUGGGGUGUCCUUCUCUUCCUUCUCUGUCGUCCUGAGGAUCCAGGCUCCUUUUGGGGUUGCAGGUCUCCCCAGGCCACUGUAGCCUCUCCAUACGGCAUCGCCUGUCAGCCAUCUUCCCUGCGCAGACCAACCCUGUCAUUUGAAAUUUGUUGGAGCUGUUGCUUUAUAUAAAGGUGAGCAAAGUAACCUUCUGGUUAAUUUGCAUGGAUUGAUUCACCAAAUCAGAAAGGGACAGGUCAUUGCAGUAACACAGUAAAGAGCUCUACAUUUCUGAGGUUAUACUCCAUCUCUUUUCAUCUUAACACCAAUUUCAUAUGCCAGGUAAUAAUAUUUCCACUUUGCAGAUGAACAAAUGAGCUUGUAGAAGGGAUUUGCCCAGCUCAUAACUUGGAAAGACAGUCUCAGGGACUGAUCUAAUCACAUUUGGUUUCCAUCACACUGUACUACUUCUUUGUAGGCGCAGCGUCCAGCAGAGACAGGCCAUUUUUAAGUUUAAGAACACAAGAUAGAGCAAAUUAUAGCUAACAUGGAUGUAACUUUAAACAUCUCUUGAGUCUAGUUAUGCAUGCAUUCAGAUCUGCUCAUCUGACCUACUUUCAUGAGGCCAUGCAAAGAUAUCUGUAGUUUCUUGAGGCUUGUACUUCUCGUAGUUACUGUCUUUCUUCUAUAGGAAGGUUUCUUCUUCUGUGGGCUGCUGUGUUACCUGAGUUUUUCUAAUAUUAAGGCCAGGAAAUACAUCUUCACGGUGUAAAUAAGUGCCGGGUUUUCCCGGGCCACUGCACCAGCCAUCUGGUUAAGCCUGGUAGCCAGGCUAACCCCAUCUGACAUCCAGGUUUACACCAUGAUGUAUCUGUUACACCAUAUUUUCAAGGGCCAGUAGGAGGGUUGGCUUAAGUAAUAAGAGGAUUCCUUAUCUAACACAUCUGACUAGGAUACAUCAGGACAGCUUUCUGGCUUGCUAACGCAUCCGCACACCACUGCCGUCUUGAGAGUCAGAGUCGGUCUUUGCUGUCCUCGGCUUGGUGGCUGUCUCCCAUGUUCUCAGAUGGCUAUGAGAAUUGCAGACAGGUAUGUCUUGAAAGAAUGAGUCUGCAGAAUGAAUGCUCACUUUUGCUUUUUUUUUUUUUUUUUUUUUUAGGAGCCAAAAAACAUUUCCCAGAAUCCUCUGCUAGAUCUUGAAUUCCACAAUUCAAGAUUAUGUCACCAGGGCCAGGGAUUUAGCUUGGCAGCAUAAGCCCCUGCCUGGCAAGCAUGAGGCCGCAAGUUCAAUCCCUAGUACAAAAAAAAAAAUUACAUCAUCUAUCUGUCUAAAUCUAUCAGUAGUAAAGCUAAUGGUGUCACUAGGGAUGCAGAGAAAUUAAUAUUUAACUUAGUACCAUGAGAGGAUGGUAGAACUCCAAACAAUACCAAGUAUCUUCGAGUAGGAAAAUGGGAUAGAUACAACCUGCCAGCCUUUUACUGUUGGCUUCAGACAUUUUUAGAGAUUUACAUUUAUGUGCACACAUGCUUAUCCUAGAGAACAUUGGCUUAUUUCCCCCAAGUAGCUAUUAUUUGGGCCAUGAUUAAUCAGAGAGCUGAAUUUCCAAUCAAGACAAUACUAUCCUUUGAGUCCGUCAGUGUGAGUCAAACACAUGGUAAGUGAAAUGUAAAAUAAGACUAAGCAUUGACUAAAAAAUAAGCAUACCAUUUGGAGCAGAAAUGUAAGCUUUUUAUGAUAGUAUAGAAGACCAAAUACCUAUAAGUAGUUGUUUUAUCAGGCACCUAGAAAUAUUAGGUGAAAUACAACAUUCUUGAGUUGCUGAGCUCAAAAGGAUGUAAGAGAAUUCCUUUAAGAGAACUGAAGUUAAGGGGAAAUUGAGUCUCAGUAAACAUUGAUUGCAGCCCAGGGUGAUGAUGGAGCAUUUGCCUCCUCCCCUUCCCAAGGCUUGGGAGUUCACACUUAGGAGAUGAGUGAUGGAGCCUUGUGAGAUUCCGAGUAAAAAGCUUAGGGUCCCAUAGAGAGUCCCGUGAAUAAGGAAAAGCACUCCCACUUGCAUGGGGAACUGCAGAGUUUGUAAGUGCAAAAUUUGGCCUGGAUUUUGAAUGAAGAUAAAGCUCUCCGCUGAGAAUGUGUAACCAGUGCCCUCUGCAGUAAGUUUGUUUAUGGAAUCCAUACCUGUGCUGACCAAGAGCUUUGAAGCAAACACAUUAGCACUAAAGCAUCCACAGACUGGGGUGCUAUAGGGUACCUGGCAGUGGCCAUACUGGAGCUGCUUGUAGGGGAUCGGGUGUCAGCCAAGGCUGUGUGGCUCUUCCAAAGGUCCCCUCGAACUGAGGAUGAGAAAACAACCGUCGUGAGCAGAAGACAGCAGACUCAAAACUGUCAGGCUGCAAUAAAUUAAGGAUUAACAAAAAUAUUACACAGUUAAGCAGGAUUAAAAGAUGUUACUUUAUAAAAGAAACACAUAAGAAAAAUUUUUCAUAAAUAAAAAAUAUUGAAAUAAGCUAAUGGGCAGCCGCAAAUUAAGUUAAACAGUUGAUGUAGAAAUUUAUGAACUGGGAAAUAGAACUGAUCUAACAAAUUUUCUACAAAGCAGCAUAGACAGAUGGAAAAUAUGAUUGGAAUUUAAUAACAUGAAAGGCAAAUGAGAAUAUCCAACAUAAUCUAAUCCAAGUCUUAGAAGAAUAGAACAUGUGGCCUGUAUGUUCCAAAAUUUAUGAAAGAUAAAAUUUGAUAAGUGCAGGAAACAAAGUGACCCCAAAACAAGAUAAAUAAAAGUAAAUUGAAACCAGAGAGAGGACAUUGUGUUGGGCGCAGGUGCUCAACAUACCAUACCCCACCCGGGACUAAGGACCAUGCCAGCUUCCGCAAUGCGCUACGUCCCUCUUUAAAUUAGCCAACCCGUGUGCACCUCGUGCUCACUCCGUAUUCGCCCCGUGCUGACUCUGUGGCAACCCCUGAUUGGCCACAGCUGGAUAUAGUAGCCAGAGCCUGCGUCCCAUUCCCGCCCUGCUUCCUCGUGGCAGCCUGUGAUUGGUCACGGCCAAAUAUAUAAACCAGAGCCCACGUAAAUAAAGCAGCAGUUAACUGUC